rnacentral:rRNA from 1 species
CUGACUGCUAUCGGAUUGGUACUAAGCCAUGCGAGUCAUUGUAGCAAUACAAGGCGGACGGCUCAGUAACACGUAGUCAACCUAACUCGUGGACGUGGAUAACCUCGGGAAACUGAGAAUAAACCACGAUAGAUCAUAGUGCCUGGAAUGGCUUAUGGUCCAAACAGUUUACUGCCAUGGGAUGGGACUGCGGCCUAUCAGCUUGUUGGUGAGGUAAUGGCCCAUCAAGGCGAUUACAGGUACGGGCUCUGAGAGGAGUAGCCCGGAGAUGGGUACUGAGACACGGACCCAGGCCCUAUGGGGCGCAGCAGGCGAGAAACCUUAGCAAUGUGCGAAAGCACGACUGGGUCAGUCCGAGUGAUUCCUGAUAAAGGAGUCUUUUGCCUGUCCUAAAAGCACAGGUGAAUAAGGGGUGGGCAAGUCUGGUGUCAGCCGCCGCGGUAAUACCAGCACCUCGAGUGGUCAGGACGUUUAUUGGGCCUAAAGCAUCCGUAGCCGGCUCUGCAAGUCUUCGGUUAAAUCCACCUGCUCAACAGAUGGGCCGCUGGAGAUACUACAGAGCUAGGGAGUGGGAGAGGCAGACGGUAUUCAGUGGGUAGGGGUAAAAUCCUCUGAUCCAUUGAGGACCACCAGUGGCGAAGGCGGUCUGCCAGAACACGUUCGACGGUGAGGGAUGAAAGCUGGGGGAGCAAACCGGAUUAGAUACCCGGGUAGUCCCAGCUGUAAACGAUGCAAACUCGGUGAUGCAUUGGCUUAUGGCCAAUGCAGUGCCGCAGGGAAGCCGUUAAGUUUGCCGCCUGGGAAGUACGGACGCAAGUCUGAAACUUAAAGGAAUGGCGGGGGGAGCAC